rnacentral:rRNA from 1 species
CCUACGGGACGCAGCAGUGAGGAAUAUUGGUCAAUGGACGCAAGUCUGAACCAGCCAAGUCGCGUGCAGGAAGACAGCCCUAUGAGUUGUAAACUUCUUUUGUCAGGGGGUAAAGGGAGUCACGUGUACCUUUCUGAAAGUAACUUAAGAAUAAGGAUCGGCUAACUCCGUGCCAGCAGCCGCGGUAAUACGGAGGAUUCGAGCGUUAGCCGGAUUUAUUGGGUUUAAAGGGGGCGUAGAGGGGUUGUUAAGUUAGCUGUGAAAUCUUGAGGCUCAACCUUGGAAUUGCCUCUGAUACUGUUCGGCUUGAGUGUAGUUGCGGUAGGCGGAAUGUGUGGUGUAGCGGUGAAAUGCUUAGAGAUCACGCAGAACACCGAUUGCGAAGGCAGCUUACCAAGCUACAUCUGACAUUGAUGCACGAAAGCGUGGGGAGCAAACAGGAUUAGAUACCCGUGUAGUC